UAAUCCGACGGACUUUCGGGUCUUUCGGCAAAGAUGGCCUCUACAUGUAAGCUGUCGAAUCGAGAUGAGCCCGCGUCCCAUUAGCUAGUUGGUAGGGUAAAAGCCUACCAAGGCGACGAUGGGUAGCUGGUCUGAGAGGACGAUCAGCCACACUGGAACUGGUACACGGUCCAGACUCCUACGGGAGGCAGCAGUGAGGAAUAUUGCGCAAUGGGGGAAACCCUGACGCAGCGAUGCCGCGUGGGUGAAGAAGGCCUUCGGGUCGUAAAGCCCUGUCGGGUGGGAAGAACAGUCUGGGAGUUAAUACCUCUCAGGUUUGACGGUACCACCAAAGGAAGCACCGGCUAACUCCGUGCCAGCAGCCGCGGUAAGACGGAGGGUGCGAGCGUUAUUCGGAAUCAUUGGGCGUAAAGGGUGUGCAGGCGGCUGGUCAAGUCAGAUGUGAAAGCCCAGGGCUUAACCCUGGAAGUGCAUUUGAAACUGAUCGGCUUGAGUUCCGG
rnacentral:rRNA from 1 species